AUGGUCAACCGCGUCACGCGCUUCUCCGGGGGAACUUCAGGGUCCUCGUCCUCUCAGGCUCAGGGUAUGAAAACAUUCAGUAGCGCCCAUGUCGAUAAUUUGGUUCAACUGAAGGAAUGGGAUCAGCUUCAUGCGUAUUUGAUGGAAUUUAUCCCUGGCGAAGAGCCUUUCAAGUCCCACCCUAUGCUUUUCUUGCGCAUAUUCAUGUGUCGUGCGGUUGACUUAAUUGACCAAAACAAAAUUUCUGAUGCUGAGAUGCUCUUUGAAGCUGAAAUGCAGCCCUUUCAGAAAUUGAUCGAUCAAGGGCAAGAGGGUCUCAGGAAUGCUACCAUUGCUGAGCUAUCCGAGGGUCUCAAAUACAUCAAGGGAUGCCUAACUGCGAAGAAAAGCUUGACUCAUCCAUACACCAGUAUUCUUAUGACUAAGAUUGCCGUCAAUGACUACAUGAGGCUGUAUUUGCCAAAUGCAAUCGGGUAUAAGAUUGUUCGCAAGAAGGAUGCACUAUGGGUUUUUGCUUUUCCUCUCGCAUCUAGAUCAGCGACUAAGCCUACCUUCAGAUGUUUGGGUUGUAGCCUUAAAAUCUUUAACUCUGGAACCAUCCAGGACAUCUCUCCCCACCUUGAUCAAUGUCCUGGGAUGAGUACACCAUAUCUGAUUGAGCUACUCAAGCUCUCCAGAACAAUCAACCUUAUUAAUGCUGAAAACUCACCUCAUAAGCUAACGCAAAGUGAACAGCCUGCUGAAAAGAGGCGUCGAACCUUGACUGACACCUUCAUCCCUGUUGAUAAGAGAGAUGUCUUUGCAGAGAUACAAAGAGAGGUAAAAGGUGCUGAGCAUCUGUAUAAUCAAAUUGGAGUCGAGGUGAAUGAAACCGUUGAUAUGUUCAACACCAUGGGAACAAAAGUGGGAAAUAUUCAUCUUCUGCAUGAUAAGAUGGGACAUGUCAUCAAUAAGAUGAAAGAGCUCGUAUGUGCCGGACCUUCUGUAGCAGAAGAUGAAGAAGGAGCCAAUGCUGACAACAAUGUUGAGGUCGAGGAAGCCGAGGCUGCAGAAGAUGAAGAAGGAGCAGCUGCUACCAACAAUGUUGAGGUCGAGGAAGCCGAGGCUGCCAAUGAUGCCCCCUUUCAGUCCGACGCCAUCUAUCAUUACGGUGAAUUUGCGAGUUUGGGAGAAAUGCUGAAGAGUGCCAUUGACCCAACAGAUGAGCUGAUGAGUACCGAGGAGAUGUCCGGUAGCUUCGCUGGCGGUUAUUUUUGA
rnacentral:rRNA from 1 species